rnacentral:rRNA from 1 species
CACGCCCUAAACGAUGCGAACUGGACGUUGGGUACACUUAGGUACUCAGUGUCGAAGCUAACGCGUUAAGUUCGCCGCCUGGGGAGUACGGUCGCAAGACUGAAACUCAAAGGAAUUGACGGGGGCCCGCACAAGCGGUGGAGUAUGUGGUUUAAUUCGAUGCAACGCGCAGAACCUUACCUGGCCUUGACAUCCAGAGAACUUUCCAGAGAUGGAUUGGUGCCUUCGGGAACUCUGAGACAGGUGC